AAGAAAAAAAAAAUAGCCACUUAAAUGUGAUCAGGGUUUUAGAAAGCUUUUCUAUGCAACACACUUACCUGAAACCUCAUUCCAUUUAAAAAUUUGGCAUUAGUUGGAUUUCGAAUUAACAGAAGUAUAUAACUGGAACCACAUUACAGCAACUAGAAAUCCCAUCAAAUUACUGAAAGUAAAGCAAACUAAACUUCUGAACAAAACUGUGGGACGCUUGAGAGACGUAUCCACUGGAUUCCAUUACAGUCUCUCGCACACUCCUUUGUAUAUUGUUACAUGAACAGACACAAACACGCCAAGGUCAUUUCAUUUAAAGCAGAUUUAGCUUAUGUUUAAGUUUGUCCAAGCUCAAUAAAAAAGCGACAUUUUAAUUUAAUGUUUAAAAUAAUGUGUUCAGCAACUACUUGGAACAAAAAUGCCCCCCCAACAGCCAUCUGUAAUCAAAGAUUAAUCAAAAGCCUCUCUGGUAUUGACUAAUUAAAAUACAGUAGAAAGCAUGUCAACAGCUGUAGAUGGACAGGCCUGAAUUUCAGGGGGAUUGUACUCCAAGCAUUACAUUAUAUUGGUAAGAGUUAUUUAAAAAAAAAAAAGCCUUUCAAUGCAAGUUAUUUAAAAAAAAAAAAAAAGCCUUUCAAUGCAAGCUAUUUAAAAUGGAUCGUACAUUCUUCAAGUGCGUGGUUUAUAAAAUCCGCACAUUGUAGAACAAACCGUUACUAAGGGUUUGACCCAGUCCAGGUGUACAGCAAUGCUUCAACACGUCCGUUACUAAGGGUUUGACCCAGUCCAGGUGUACAGCAAUGCUUCAACACGUCCGUUACUAAGGGUUUGACCCAGUCCAGGUGUACAGCAAUGCUUCAACACGUCCGUUACUAAGGGUUUGACCCAGUCCAGGUGUACAGCAAUGCUUCAACACGUCCGUUACUAAGGGUUUGACCCAGUCCAGGUGUACAGCAAUGCUUCAACACGUCCGUUACUAAGGGUUUGACCCAGUCCAGGUGUACAGCAAUGCUUCAACACGUCCGUUACUAAGGGUUUGACCCAGUCCAGGUGUACAGCAAUGCUUCAACACGUCCGUUACUAAGGGUUUGACCCAGUCCAGGUGUACAGCAAUGCUUCAACACGUCCGUUACUAAGGGUUUGACCCAGUCCAGGUGUACAGCAAUGCUUCAACACGUCCGUUACUAAGGGUUUGACCCAGUCCAGGUAUAUAGCAAUGCUUCAACAUGUACCCUCCCCCUGCACUUUUUAAGUUCAGUUCUUGAAGUGUACCAAGACAGGUACAUUUUAUUUGAAACCACUAUAAAAGGUAUCAGUACAGUUAAAACCAAAACGGAUCGCUAGUAUGCAUUAACAAGCAAGCCCACUACCCAACACGCCAAUGUUCAGACUACUGGAGCACUUCGAGAUUAUGUAGUUACACAAACAGAUUAGUGUAUUUCUGCAGUAGGACACCUGCCUCCCAGUUUAAAAGGGGUUGUACUUUAUAUUACACUUCACCUCAAAUACAUAUUCGCUGAAAGACCAGCUAUGGAAUUGUAUAAUCUUGCACUAUUCAUGGAGGCAUCUUCCCCCCCCCCCCCCCCCCCCUCUCUCAAAAUUCUGCAAAUAAAAUUCAAAACUAAUCACACUGGACAAUGCCACUUCUAAUCUACCCCCCGCCAGAAAAAAAAGCAGAUCUUGUAGCUUUUUUAUAAAAUUACAUCUCUGGUCUUUCCAAUGGAAGACAUGACUGUUUAAUGUCGUAAUUUAACCAAAUGAUGCACAAAUUAAAAGCUUUUUUAUACCCCUCAAUAGGAGACAAAUGUUUAUUUUGUAAAAAAAAAACAAACAAACUGACAUGACUACUUCCAUACAGUAAUUGUUUAAAAGAAAAACAAAAUAAAAUCACAGCAUCAUGCAAGACUCAGCAGUGUGACUCUUAAAACUGUUACAGGGAGCAACUGAAGACAGCGAGGACAUCUUCUAGGGUGUAGAUCAAGAACGAACACUACUCUGUUAAAAACACUGUCUGCUUGCAGCACAUUUCAGAUCAAUAGUUAGAAUUCAACACAGCAAACCCUCAUCCCUACGGGCACAGUAAUGACAGGGUUCGUUUUAACUAGCUGAAGGCGGAACAGCCAGGCAGGUACACAGCUGCAAGUUUAAAAAGGAGGGUUUGCCCCUUAUAUUUUUUAUUAAUGGAACACAAGCAUGUGUGAUCUUGCAAGUUAAAAAAAAGAUAACGCAAGUCUUUCAUCUUGGGAAAUCACCUUUAAGCACCCCCCCCCCC